rnacentral:rRNA from 1 species
GGCCAGACUCCUACGGGAGGCAGCAGUGGGGAAUAUUGCACAAUGGGGGGAACCCUGAUGCAGCGACGCCGCGUGGGUGAAGAAGUCAUUCGUGACGUAAAGCCCUAUCAGCAGGGAAGAAAAUGACGGUACCUGACUAAGAAGCCCCGGCUAACUACGUGCCAGCAGCCGCGGUAAUACGUAGGGGGCAAGCGUUAUCCGGAUUUACUGGGUGUAAAGGGAGCGUAGACGGCGGCGCAAGUCCGGAGUGAAAGCCCGGGGCCCAACCCCGGGACUGCUCUGGAAACUGCGGCGCUGGAGUACGGGAGGGGCAGGCGGAAUUCCUAGUGUAGCGGUGAAAUGCGUAGAUAUUAGGGGGAACACCAGUGGCGAAGGCGGCCUGCUGGGCUUUUACUGACGCUGAGGCUCGAAAGUGUGGGGAGCAAACAGGAUUAGAUACCCGAGUA